AGUGGCCUAGUGGUCAAGACAUCCGCCUGGUAACCCAGGGGUCGUGGGUUCGAGUCCG
rnacentral:tRNA from 1 species